GAUGAACGCUGGCGGCGUGCCUAAUACAUGCAAGUCGAGCGAACAGACGAGGAGCUUGCUCCUCUGACGUUAGCGGCGGACGGGUGAGUAACACGUGGAUAACCUACCUAUAAGACUGGGAUAACUUCGGGAAACCGGAGCUAAUACCGGAUAAUAUAUUGAACCGCAUGGUUCAAUAGUGAAAGUCGGUUUUUCUGUCACUUAUAGAUGGAUCCGCGCCGCAUUAGCUAGUUGGUAAGGUAACGGCUUACCAAGGCAACGAUGCGUAGCCGACCUGAGAGGGUGAUCGGCCACACUGGAACUGAGACACGGUCCAGACUCCUACGGGAGGCAGCAGUAGGGAAUCUUCCGCAAAGGGCGAAAGCCUGACGGAGCAACGCCGCGUGAGUGAUGAAGGUCUUCGGAUCGUAAAACUCUGUUAUUAGGGAAGAACAAAUGUGUAAGUAACUAUGCACGUCUUGACGGUACCUAAUCAGAAAGCCACGGCUAACUACGUG
rnacentral:rRNA from 1 species